rnacentral:rRNA from 1 species
UACGUAGGGAGCGAGCGUUGUCCGGAAUUACUGGGUGUAAAGGGUGCGUAGGCGGGACGGCAAGUCAGAUGUGAAAUGCAGGGGCUCAACCCCUGAGCUGCAUUUGAAACUGUCGUUCUUGAGUGAGGUAGAGGUAAGCGGAAUUCCUAGUGUAGCGGUGAAAUGCGUAGAUAUUAGGAGGAACAUCGGUGGCGAAGGCGGCUUACUGGGCCUUUACUGACGCUGAGGCACGAAAGCGUGGGGAG